rnacentral:rRNA from 1 species
UGAGUACGAGCUGCUACGGCAGCGAAGUGGGUGAUGUCAAGCUUCCAAGAAAAGCCCUAUACCCGUUAAGGCAUGACGGCCUGUACCCGAAACCGACACAGGUGGGGUGGUAGAGAAUACCGAGGGGCGCGAGAUAACUCUCUCUAAGGAACUCGGCAAAAUGGCCCCGUAACUUCGGGAGAAGGGGUGCCACCGCAAGGUGGUCGCAGUGAAGAGGCCCAGGCGACUGUUUACCAAAAACACAGGUCUCCGCUAAGUCGCAAGACGAUGUAUGGGGGCCGACGCCUGCCCAGUGCCGGAAGGUUAAGGAAGCUGGUCAGCGCAAGCGAAGCUAGCGACUGAAGCCCCGGUGAACGGCGGCCGUAACUAUAACGGUCCUAAGGUAGCGAAAUUCCUUGUCGGGUAAGUUCCGACCCGCACGAAAGGCGUAACGAUCUGGGCGCUGUCUCGGAGAGAGGCUCGGCGAAAUAGAAUUGUCUGUGAAGAUGCGGACUACGUGCACCCGGACAGAAAGACCCUAUGAAGCUUUACUGUAGCUUGGUAUUGUGCCCGGGCUCUGAAUGCGCAGGAUAGGUGGGAGGCUUUGAUCCAUUGCUUGUGGGUAAUGGUGAGCCACUGGUGAGAUACCACUCUUUCAGAGCUAGGGUUCUAACGGUCACCCGUUAUCCGGGGACCGGACAGUAUCAGGUGGGCAGUUUGACUGGGGCGGUCGCCUCCUAAAAGGUAACGGAGGCGCGCAAAGGUUCCCUCAGGCUGGUUGGAAAUCAGCCGACGAGUGUAAAGGCAGAAGGGAGCUUGACUGUGAGACCUACAAGUCGAACAGGGACGAAAGUCGGCCUUAGUGAUCCGACGGUUCUGAGUGGAAGGGCCGUCGCUCAACGGAUAAAAGUUACUCUAGGAUAACAGGCUGAUCUCCCCCAAGAGUUCACAUCGACGGGGAGGUUUGGCACCUCGAUGUCGGCUCAUCGCAACCUGGGGCUGAAGUCGGUCCCAAGGGUUGGGCUGUUCGCCCAUUAAAGCGGUACGCGAGCUGGGUUCAGAGCGUCGUGAGACAGUUCGGUCCAUAUCCGGUGCACGCGCAGGAACAUUGAGAGGAUUUCUCCCUAGUACGAGAGGACCGGGAGGAACGCACCUCUGGUGUACCAGUUAUCGUGCCAACGGUAAACGCUGGGUAGCCAUGUGCGGAGCGGAUAACCGCUGAAAGCAUCUAAGUGGGAAGCCCACCUCAAGAUGAGUGUUCCCAUGGCAUAAGCCAGUAAGGUCACGGGAAGAACACCCGUUGAUAGGCUCUACGUGGAAGCGUGGCAACACGUGAAGCGGAGGAGUACUAAUAGACCGAGGGCUUGAU